rnacentral:rRNA from 1 species
UUAAGCGACUAAGCGUACACGGUGGAUGCCCUGGCAGUCAGAGGCGAUGAAGGACGUGCUAAUCUGCGAUAAGCGUCGGUAAGGUGAUAUGAACCGUUAUAACCGGCGAUUUCCGAAUGGGGAAACCCAGUGUGUUUCGACACACUAUCAUUAACUGAAUCCAUAGGUUAAUGAGGCGAACCGGGGGAACUGAAACAUCUAAGUACCCCGAGGAAAAGAAAUCAACCGAGAUUCCCCCAGUAGCGGCGAGCGAACGGGGAGCAGCCCAGAGCCUGAAUCAGUGUGUGUGUUAGUGGAAGCGUCUGGAAAGGCGCGCGAUACAGGGUGACAGCCCCGUACACAAAAAUGCACAUAUUGUGAGCUCGAUGAGUAGGGCGGGACACGUGGUAUCCUGUCUGAAUAUGGGGGGACCAUCCUCCAAGGCUAAAUACUCCUGACUGACCGAUAGUGAACCAGUACCGUGAGGGAAAGGCGAAAAGAACCCCGGCGAGGGGAGUGAAAAAGAACCUGAAACCGUGUACGUACAAGCAGUGGGAGCCUCUUUUAUGGGGUGACUGCGUACCUUUUGUAUAAUGGGUCAGCGACUUAUAUUCUGUAGCAAGGUUAACCGAAUAGGGGAGCCGAAGGGAAACCGAGUCUUAACUGGGCGUUAAGUUGCAGGGUAUAGACCCGAAACCCGGUGAUCUAGCCAUGGGCAGGUUGAAGGUUGGGUAACACUAACUGGAGGACCGAACCGACUAAUGUUGAAAAAUUAGCGGAUGACUUGUGGCUGGGGGUGAAAGGCCAAUCAAACCGGGAGAUAGCUGGUUCUCCCCGAAAGCUAUUUAGGUAGCGCCUCGUGAAUUCAUCUCCGGGGGUAGAGCACUGUUUCGGCAAGGGGGUCAUCCCGACUUACCAACCCGAUGCAAACUGCGAAUACCGGAGAAUGUUAUCACGGGAGACACACGGCGGGUGCUAACGUCCGUCGUGAAGAGGGAAACAACCCAGACCGCCAGCUAAGGUCCCAAAGUCAUGGUUAAGUGGGAAACGAUGUGGGAAGGCCCAGACAGCCAGGAUGUUGGCUUAGAAGCAGCCAUCAUUUAAAGAAAGCGUAAUAGCUCACUGGUCGAGUCGGCCUGCGCGGAAGAUGUAACGGGGCUAAACCAUGCACCGAAGCUGCGGCAGCGACACUAUGUGUUGUUGGGUAGGGGAGCGUUCUGUAAGCCUGUGAAGGUGUACUGUGAGGUAUGCUGGAGGUAUCAGAAGUGCGAAUGCUGACAUAAGUAACGAUAAAGCGGGUGAAAAGCCCGCUCGCCGGAAGACCAAGGGUUCCUGUCCAACGUUAAUCGGGGCAGGGUGAGUCGACCCCUAAGGCGAGGCCGAAAGGCGUAGUCGAUGGGAAACAGGUUAAUAUUCCUGUACUUGGUGUUACUGCGAAGGGGGGACGGAGAAGGCUAUGUUGGCCGGGCGACGGUUGUCCCGGUUUAAGCGUGUAGGCUGGUUUUCCAGGCAAAUCCGGAAAAUCAAGGCUGAGGCGUGAUGACGAGGCACUACGGUGCUGAAGCAACAAAUGCCCUGCUUCCAGGAAAAGCCUCUAAGCAUCAGGUAACAUCAAAUCGUACCCCAAACCGACACAGGUGGUCAGGUAGAGAAUACCAAGGCGCUUGAGAGAACUCGGGUGAAGGAACUAGGCAAAAUGGUGCCGUAACUUCGGGAGAAGGCACGCUGAUAUGUAGGUGAAGUCCCUCGCGGAUGGAGCUGAAAUCAGUCGAAGAUACCAGCUGGCUGCAACUGUUUAUUAAAAACACAGCACUGUGCAAACACGAAAGUGGACGUAUACGGUGUGACGCCUGCCCGGUGCCGGAAGGUUAAUUGAUGGGGUCAGCGCAAGCGAAGCUCUUGAUCGAAGCCCCGGUAAACGGCGGCCGUAACUAUAACGGUCCUAAGGUAGCGAAAUUCCUUGUCGGGUAAGUUCCGACCUGCACGAAUGGCGUAAUGAUGGCCAGGCUGUCUCCACCCGAGACUCAGUGAAAUUGAACUCGCUGUGAAGAUGCAGUGUACCCGCGGCAAGACGGAAAGACCCCGUGAACCUUUACUAUAGCUUGACACUGAACAUUGAGCCUUGAUGUGUAGGAUAGGUGGGAGGCUUAGAAGUGUGGACGCCAGUCUGCAUGGAGCCGACCUUGAAAUACCACCCUUUAAUGUUUGAUGUUCUAACGUUGACCCGUGAUCCGGGUUGCGGACAGUGUCUGGUGGGUAGUUUGACUGGGGCGGUCUCCUCCUAAAGAGUAACGGAGGAGCACGAAGGUUGGCUAAUCCUGGUCGGACAUCAGGAGGUUAGUGCAAUGGCAUAAGCCAGCUUGACUGCGAGCGUGACGGCGCGAGCAGGUGCGAAAGCAGGUCAUAGUGAUCCGGUGGUUCUGAAUGGAAGGGCCAUCGCUCAACGGAUAAAAGGUACUCCGGGGAUAACAGGCUGAUACCGCCCAAGAGUUCAUAUCGACGGCGGUGUUUGGCACCUCGAUGUCGGCUCAUCACAUCCUGGGGCUGAAGUAGGUCCCAAGGGUAUGGCUGUUCGCCAUUUAAAGUGGUACGCGAGCUGGGUUUAGAACGUCGUGAGACAGUUCGGUCCCUAUCUGCCGUGGGCGCUGGAGAACUGAGGGGGGCUGCUCCUAGUACGAGAGGACCGGAGUGGACGCAUCACUGGUGUUCGGGUUGUCAUGCCAAUGGCACUGCCCGGUAGCUAAAUGCGGAAGAGAUAAGUGCUGAAAGCAUCUAAGCACGAAACUUGCCCCGAGAUGAGUUCUCCCUGACUCCUUGAGAGUCCUGAAGGAACGUUGAAGACGACGACGUUGAUAGGCCGGGUGUGUAAGCGCAGCGAUGCGUUGAGCUAACCGGUACUAAUGAACCGUGAGGCUUAACCUU